UACAGAGGGUGCAAGCGUUGUUCGGAAUUAUUGGGCGUAAAGCGCGUGUAGGCGGCUUGGCAAGUCGGGUGUGAAAUCCCUCAGCUUAACUGAGGAAGUGCGCCCGGAACUGCCGAGCUUGAGUACCGGAGAGGGUGGCGGAAUUCCCCAAGUAGAGGUGAAAUUCGUAGAUAUGGGGAGGAACACCGGUGGCGAAGGCGGCCACCUGGACGGAUACUGACGCUGAGACGCGAAAGCGUGGGGAGCAAACAGG
rnacentral:rRNA from 1 species